AUUGAACGCUGGCGGCAGGCCUAACACAUGCAAGUCGAGCGAGCGGCGGAAGGGUGAGUAAUGUCUGGGAAACUGCCUGAUGGAGGGGGAUAACUACUGGAAACGGUAGCUAAUACCGCAUACCAUCAGAUGUGCCCAGAUGGGAUUAGAUGGUAGGUGGGGUAACGGCUCACCUAGGCGACGAUCCCUAGCUGGUCUGAGAGGAUGAUCAGCCACAUUGGAACUGAGACAAGGUCCGGACUCCUACGGGAGGCAGCAGUGGGGAAUAUCGCACAAUGGGCGCAAGCCUGAUGCAGCCAUGCUGAGUGUAUGAAGAAGGCCUGCGGGUUGUAAAGGACUUUCAGCGGGGAGGCGUUACCCGCAGAAGAAGCACCGGCUAACUCCGUGCCAGCAGCCGCGGUAAUAC
rnacentral:rRNA from 1 species